CCAGACUCCUACGGGAGGCAGCAGUGGGGAAUAUUGCACAAUGGGGGAAACCCUGAUGCAGCGACGCCGCGUGAGUGAGGAAGUAUUUCGGUAUGUAAAGCUCUAUCAGCAGGGAAGAAAAAAUGACGGUACCUGACUAAGAAGCACCGGCUAAAUACGUGCCAGCAGCCGCGGUAAUACGUAUGGUGCAAGCGUUAUCCGGAUUUACUGGGUGUAAAGGGAGCGCAGGCGGUACGGCAAGUCUGAAGUGAAAGCCCGGGGCUCAACCGCGGGACUGCUUUGGAAACUGUUAAGCUGGAGUGCAGGAGAGGUAAGUGGAAUUCCUAGUGUAGCGGUGAAAUGCGUAGAUAUUAGGAGGAACACCAGUGGCGAAGGCGGCUUACUGGACUGUAACUGACGUUGAGGCUCGAAAGCGUGGGGAGCAAACAGGAUUAGAUACCCCGGUA
rnacentral:rRNA from 1 species